CGUGCCUAACACAUGCAAGUCGAACGGAGUUGAAAAGAGCUUGCUUUUUUUAACUCAGUGGCGGACGGGUGAGUAACGCGUGAGUAACCUGCCUUUCAGGAGGGGGAUAACGUUCUAGAAAAGAACGCUAAUACCGCAUAAGAUUGUAGUUUCGCAUGGGACAGCAAUCAAAGGAGAAAUCCGCUGAAAGAUGGACUCGCGUCCGAUUAGAUAGUUGGCGGGGUAAUGGCCCACCAAGUCGACGAUCGGUAGCCGGACUGAGAGGUUGAUCGGCCACAUUGGGACUGAGACACGGCCCAGACUCCUACGGGAGGCAGCAGUGAGGGAUAUUGGGCAAUGGGGGAAACCCUGACCCAGCAACGCCGCGUGAGGGAUGACGGUUUUCGGAUUGUAAACCUCUGUCCUCUGUGAAGAUAGUGACGGUAGCAGAGGAGGAAGCUCCGGCUAACUACGUG
rnacentral:rRNA from 1 species